UACGGAGGGAGCUAGCGUUGUUCGGAAUUACUGGGCGUAAAGCGCACGUAGGCGGCUUUGUAAGUUAGAGGUGAAAGCCCGGGGCUCAACCCCGGAAUUGCCUUUAAGACUGCAUCGCUUGAAUCCAGGAGAGGUGAGUGGAAUUCCGAGUGUAGAGGUGAAAAUUCGUAGAUAUUCGGAAGAACACCAGUGGCGAAGGCGGCUCACU
rnacentral:rRNA from 1 species